GCAAGGGUGAUUCGUAUCCUGUUUCAAGACUAUUAGCGUGUAGCUCCCUGCCGAGUGGGGGAUGUCAGGAUGAUGUUCAUGCCCUGUAGGUUCAGACCUAAGGUCUUCACUGUCAGUGGUGUUAUCCUCUGCUAUUCUGGCUUGGGUAGUGGUUGUUUAUUCUAUCUUGGCCGUGUCUGCCAUCUGACUCCUAUCCUUUCGUGGGUGCAGUGUUGGUCCUGCUUCUCCC